UACGAAGGGAGCUAGCGUUGUUCGGAAUCACUGGGCGUAAAGCGCACGUAGGCGGAUCGAUCAGUCAGGGGUGAAAUCCCAGAGCUCAACUUUGGAACUGCCUUUGAUACUGUCGAUCUGGAGUAUGGAAGAGGUGAGUGGAAUUCCGAGUGUAGAGGUGAAAAUUCGUAGAUAUUCGGAGGAACACCAGUGGCGAAGGCGGCUCACUGGUCCAUUACUGACGCUGAGGUGCGAAAGCGUGGGGAGCAAACAGG
rnacentral:rRNA from 1 species